rnacentral:rRNA from 1 species
GCAUCCAACGCGUUGGGAGCUCUCCCAUAUGGUCGACCUGCAGGCGGCCGCGAAUUCACUAGUGAUUCGUAUUACCGCGGCUGCUGGCACGGAGUUAGCCGGAGCUUAUUCUCCCGGUACUGUCAUUAUCAUCCCGGGUAAAAGAGCUUUACAACCCUAAGGCCUUCAUCACUCACGCGGCAUUGCUGGAUCAGGCUUGCGCCCAUUGUCCAAUAUUCCCCACUGCUGCCUCCCGUAGGAGUCUGGGCCGUGUCUCAGUCCCAGUGUGGCUGAUCAUCCUCUCAGACCAGCUAAGGAUCGUCGCCUUGGUGCGCCUUUACCACACCAACUAGCUAAUCCUACGCGGGCUCAUCCUCAGGCGAUAAAUCUUUGGACUUAACGUCAUCAUCCGGUAUUAGCCAUCGUUUCCAAUGGUUAUUCCGAACCUGAGGGCAGAUUCCCACGCGCUACGCACCCGUGCGCCACUAGACCCGAAGGUCUCGUUCGACUUGCAUGUGUUAGGCAUGCCGCCAGCGUUCAUUCUGAGCCAUGAUCAAACUCUAAUCGAAUUCCCGCGGCCGCCAUGGCGGCCGGGAGCAUGCGAC